UACGUAGGCGGCAAGCGUUGUCCGGAAUUAUUGGGCGUAAAGGGAGCGCAGGCGGGAAAUUAAGCGGACUUUAAAAGUGCGGGGCUCAACCCCGUGAGGGGGUCCGAACUGAUUUUCUUGAGUGCAGGAGAGGGAAGCGGAAUUCCUAGUGUAGCGGUGAAAUGCGUAGAUAUUAGGAAGAACACCAGUGGCGAAGGCGGCUUUCUGGACUGUAACUGACGCUGAGGCUCGAAAGCCAGGGUAGCGAACGGG
rnacentral:rRNA from 1 species